UCUUAUAACAAAAUUUUAUUUUUUUGUAUUGCUUAACUUAUUGAUUGUUUUAGUAUUUGUUUUACAGAAAAGAGUGUUAAAGCAUUACCUGUGGUCAGCACAUCUCCGAAGCUCCUUUUAUUUAAUAAGAAAAGAACUGUCAAUUAACCCAGGGAAAGCGAUAGGACAGUGCCUCCAGACUUACAUCCCUCUGUUGAUGCUGAAUGUUAUAACCAGACAAGUUUAGAAACUUGCCAUGGAAAUGGCCGAGCCUGUUGGGUGGGAGUUGAUCCUGGAUUAGGGCAAUGGACGCCUCCGGCCCAGACUGCCCCACAGAGGGAGAAUUCCUGUGUUUCCUGAAAAGAGAGGAGUGGGGAAAUUCAGAACAAAACCAGCAAGAUCAGAAUUACAAGCAUCUGUUGAGUGAACCAUCAGAGGUAUUGGGGCAGUUUCCAUGAAGACCAACCAGUAGAGUGAAACAAGAAAUAGAGGACAAGCCCAGGCUGCCCCUGUGUUCAUCACCGAGGAGAUUCCAUAGCCCUGCUGCAGGCAGCAAGCCCACAGGCAUGGUAAGGUGGGGGAAGAAAGCCACAACAGACCUCUGUCAUUCCUCAGCUGUCUUUUAAUACAACAGGAACCAGAAGGCAAGACUGAGUUGGCCUCUGUACUCACCACUAAGAUACGCCUGCCAUGAGUAGCAAUCCCAUAGGAACGAUAGAUGGGGUAAAAAAGCCAUACCAGACCUCAGUGAUCUCAUUUUGUCCAUUCCAAAUAAGUUUGUACUAAGUAAACCUGAGAUUUUUUUCCUUCUCUUCCCACUGUCCUCACCCUCAUUAACAUAUACUAGUAUGACUCAUUAAAAAUUUUUUUUGAGAAGUAAGGAGAGAUUAUCAGAAUUUAAAAUGACAAUUCUUCAAACCAAAUGACUCAUAGAAAAAGGUUUUUUUUUAGAUGAAUAAUAUGAUGAUGGUUGUCUCUCACAAUGAAGAGAUAGAUAUUCCAUGUAUGUUAGGAGAAGUUUUGUAGAUGUACAGUGCUGUUACUGUAAUAUCUCCUCCCACAGUGCCCUUUCCCUCCCCCUUGCAGCAGCCUCAGCAGUCAGGGCAUGUGGGGCUCAUCCCCAGCAGGGGCGACAGGACAACACUUGAGCUCCAGUCAAGGUGUAGGGAAGUGAUCUCCACCAGUGGGGGCAGAGGGAGAGCUGAGUGACAAAACUUUGGGAGGGCUGAGGGUAUAAAAGGCAGAGCAUCCAUUUUGUAAAUGAGCACGUGGCUGACAGUCACAGAGACCCCCAGCACUGUAAUUUUUCCUUAUUCUGUCCAUUGUUGUAUUUUUUGGUUAAGGUUAAAUAAACCUGUAAAAUUUUAAAGGUGAGGGUCAUUUCUCACUUGUUCAAAGGACAGUCCAAAAGUGUCACCUUCAGGCCAGUUUGUGAUGAUUUCCAAGAGCCCAGGGCAAUUUGGAUUUCCCAUUUGAGCUUUUUGUAUAAUGUUAUAAAUAACAAAUAUAGUUACUCUCUUUCACAUUUAUGUAUUAACUUCUGUUUUGCAAGUUAUUAUUGAUCACAAAAAUCCUGAUUAUUACAAAUACGAAUUACCAUCUGUAAUUCCUGCUUUUGAUAUAGUAUAAUCUGUCAGUUUAUGCAUGCACUGUAUAGCUUCUAUAAAUAGCGAUGUAAUAGAUACUGUAUUAGACCACAGCAUAAUAGAAACUUUGAAAUGUUGAAAUUAUAUUCUCAUGUAAAUAACUCAGAAAAUGGUGUAAAAUUAUUAAGUGACUUCCCACAUACAGGGACUUUCUUAUCAGGAAGACAAGAGAAACAGAAACCAGAGCAUGGGGAAAAAAAAGACCUUAUUGACCCUCGUUAUCAAGGAGUGAAAAUACAAAAAGAGAGAACCAUAAGAAAACAUAAAAUAUAUUAGUUUAAGGCAAAAGAUGGCCUGAAGAUAAGUAAAAAAUUAUAAAAAAUAAAACAGCAUGUAAAUUCAAAGUUGUCUGAAUUCUUAAAAAUGCUUUAAAAUAUACAUGUAGUUCUAAAAUGUAACAGUAUAUAGAAAAAAUAGUUUAAGUUAACUGUGUUAUUGAAACAAGACAACCGUCAUCAAAAGCAGAAAUUAUGAGGACUCCAUUGAUAUCAGAAAGUGAAUGAAUUACAAUAAUCACAUAUUAUUCUAUAGUAUAUUACUUUGCAUCUAAACUGAAUCUGCCAAGCACUCAACCCUGCACACAACAGCACAGAAUCUCGUGUGUCUCGUGUCUGUCAGCUGAGUGUCCGGACACAAACACACAUGCUUAGCCCUGACAGAACAAGGAAACAAAACACCAUCACUCUCAAUAAACAAUCUCCAUAUUGCAUUCUACUUUUGCACAAACAUGGGGACACAAAGUGUUCGUAAUUUUUUUUUUCUCUGAGGUUCAGAUAAUGUGAAUCUCAGAAAUAUUAUUGAGAAGAAUUGUGCCUUGCUUUUCUCUGGGAAGAGAAACGUGGCGACAGCGUGCAA